AGUGAACGCUGGCGGUAGGCCUAACACAUGCAAGUCGAACGGCAGCACAGUAAGAGCUUGCUCUUACGGGUGGCGAGUGGCGGACGGGUGAGGAAUACAUCGGAAUCUACUUUUUCGUGGGGGAUAACGUAGGGAAACUUACGCUAAUACCGCAUACGACCUACGGGUGAAAGCAGGGGAUCUUCGGACCUUGCGCGAUUGAAUGAGCCGAUGUCGGAUUAGCUAGUUGGCGGGGUAAAGGCCCACCAAGGCGACGAUCCGUAGCUGGUCUGAGAGGAUGAUCAGCCACACUGGAACUGAGACACGGUCCAGACUCCUACGGGAGGCAGCAGUGGGGAAUAUUGGACAAAGGGCGCAAGCCUGAUCCAGACAUAACGCGUGGGUGAAGAAGGCCUUCGGGUUGUAAAGCCCUUUUGUUGGGAAAGAAAAGCAGCAGGUUAAUAACCAGAUGUUCUGACGGUACCCAAAGAAUAAGCACCGGCUAACUUAGUG
rnacentral:rRNA from 1 species